AUCCAGCUGACGAGUCCCAAAUAGGACGAAAAGCGCAUCCUGGAU
rfam:Trichobilharzia regenti genome assembly, scaffold: TRE_scaffold0072550